AUGAUGGUCGAUUGGGAGCAACAAUGGAUGUCAUUCCCUAUUAAUGGUCGUUCAGUAACAUUGCAAGGAGCAGUGCAUGUGGAGUUUCCUUAUACUACCAUUGAGUUAUCAGUCAUAACUGAUGAAAAUGCUCCUGAACUAUUGCCAGAGAUUCAGGAACUGGUGGAGAAAUUCAAAGAUGUUUUUGUUGUGCCAAUAGAGCUACCACCAGAGAGAGCUUGUGAUCAUUCCAUCCCUCUUAUUCCUGGGGCCAGACCCUUCUCUCUCUGUCCCAAUAGAUUAGCACCUGAACUGAAGGAUGAGGUGGAGAAACAGAUACAAGAAUUGUUGGACUUGGGAGUGAUCAGAAGAAGCAACAGUCCUUUCUCUUCUCCAAUAUUGUUAGUUAAAAACAAGGAUCACACCUGGAGAUUGGUUGUGGAUUAUAGACACUUGAAUGCACUGACCAUAAAAGGGAAGUUCCUUAUGCCUAUGAUUGAUGAACUAUUAGAUGAAUUGCAUGGAGCACAGUGGUUCACCAAACUUGACCUUCGUGUUGGGUACCAUCAAAUCAGGUUAGCGCCUGGUGAGGAGUAUAAAACAAAAUUUCAAACCCAUCAUGGUCACUUUGAAUUCUUGGUCAUGGGUUUUGGAUUGAUUAGUGCACCAAAUACAUUCCAAGGGGGCAUGUACUGCUCUUUAUCACAGGAACCUGAAGUGCUAAGACACUUUGUACUUGUGUUCUUUGAUGACAUUCUGGUUUUCAGUAAGACACUAGAGCAACACUUACAACAUGUGAAGAGGGUGCUUGAUGUCUACUACACAACGUGUUCUUGUAGACUCGUGUUGGGCCUCCAAGCGCAGAGUUUUGUAGGAUAG
rnacentral:rRNA from 1 species